AGGAUAUUUAUGAUUAAUGGUUUGAGAGAGGAGUGUUGUUUGAAGGUUUGUUCAAGAAAUGCGGACUGUUGUCUGGUAAGUCUCGGAUUUUUCCUGCCCAAACCGCUACCAUUAAUCUCAUCUUCAUCACUGC